AUCUCUUCCCCCCAUACCAUCUCCCAUUUCCUACUCCUCCUCCCUAGACCAUCUCUCUCUUCCUCUCCCUCUCUGUAUCUUAUUCGAGAUCGGAGGUUCUCUCUCUCUCUCUCUCUCUCUCUGUGGGUGUGUGUGUGUGUGUGUCUAGCUGGAGAAAACUGGUUCGGGUGCGAAGCUUUCAAGAGACUCCUCCGUCCUCUCUGCACUGCUUCAUACACAGUUUGGAAGGUAUAACAUGGCAACUCAGAUAUCCAAAACGUCCUUCAUUCUGAAAGCAAUCGUUCUCUUUGCUCUCAUCCAAUGUGCUAUUUCACGGUAUCAUGAUCCUCAGUCCAAAAUGCCCUCAACAGCAAAUGACGUGAAGAAGAUAUUAGAACCACAGUGCCUUAAGGAUCACCCUUACACCGAUUGGUGUUGCGAGUCAGUCCUUUCCCUUGGGUGCUUCAAGGACAGGAAGACAUCCAUGAAGAAUUGUCCUCCCUACCUUGCCUCUAACUAAGUUAGAUUUUUGGGAGGACGCCUUAUUAAUGUCAGAAGUGCAUUCACCAUUGUAGUUUAUAUAGAAUCAACCAUUACUUGGUUAGACACCAACCUAGCCAUUUCAUUAGUAUGUUCAGCCAGAGUUUGAUUCAGAUCCCACUUAAUCUUAUCUGUCUGUGAUUUAAUAUUGGCUUCAUGCUGUUUAAACAUAGCUUGCAUUUCAUUCGGUAUCCCAUGACUGGAAGCCAAAUUGUUCAAUACAGAUGUAUCAAACAACUUACUAAAUUGUUCAAGCACAUUCACAAGCUCAA